rnacentral:rRNA from 1 species
AUUGAACGCUGGCGGCAGGCCUAACACAUGCAAGUCGAGCGGAUGAAGGGAGCUUGCUCCUGGAUUCAGCGGCGGACGGGUGAGUAAUGCCUAGGAAUCUGCCUGGUAGUGGGGGAUAACGUCCGGAAACGGGCGCUAAUACCGCAUACGUCCUGAGGGAGAAAGUGGGGGAUGUUCGGACCUCCCGCUAUCAGAUGGGCCUAGGUCGGAUUAGCUAGUUGGUGGGGUAAAGGCCUACCAAGGCGACGAUCCGUAACUGGUCUGAGAGGAUGAUCAGUCACACUGGAACUGAGACACGGUCCAGACUCCUGCGGGAGGCAGCAGUGGGGAAUAUUGGACAAUGGGCGAAAGCCUGAUCCAGCCAUGCCGCGUGUGUGAAGAAGGUCUUCGGAUUGUAAAGCACUUUAAGUUGGGAGGAAGGGCAGUAAGUUAAUACCUUGCUGUUUUGACGUUACCAACAGAAUAAGCACCGGCUAACUUCGUG